rnacentral:tRNA from 1 species
GUCCGAGAGCGGUGGUAGCUCAGUCAGGUAAGCGCCCGCUUCUCACGCAAGAGAUGCGGGUUCAAAUCCCGGCGCUGACA